rnacentral:rRNA from 1 species
CCUACGGGCGGCUGCAGUGGGGAAUAUUGCACAAUGGGCGCAAGCCUGAUGCAGCCAUGCCGCGUGUGUGAAGAAGGCCUUCGGGUUGUAAAGCACUUUCAGCGGGGAGGAAGGCGUUAAGGUUAAUAACCUUGUCGAUCGACGUUACCCGCAGAAGAAGCACCGGCUAACUCCGUGCCAGCAGCCGCGGUAAUACGGAGGGUGCAAGCGUUAAUCGGAAUUACUGGGCGUAAAGCGCACGCAGGCGGUCUGUCAAGUCGGAUGUGAAAUCCCCGGGCUCAACCUGGGAACUGCAUUCGAAACUGGCAGGCUAGAGUCUUGUAGAGGGGGGUAGAAUUCCAGGUGUAGCGGUGAAAUGCGUAGAGAUCUGGAGGAAUACCGGUGGCGAAGGCGGCCCCCUGGACAAAGACUGACGCUCAGGUGCGAAAGCGUGGGGAGCAAACAGGAUUAGAUACCCCAGUAGUC